UGUUUUAAUAAGUGUUGUAAAGCUUUCAUUCAAUUGGAUGAAUACCGGUUAAUCUUGUGCCAGCUGCAGCGGUAAAGCAAGUGGUGUAAACGUUCUAUAGGUUUAUUAGGUGUAAAGAGUGAUUUGGAAUGUGAAUAGGAAUCUGUUUUUCAAAUCUCCAUCUCAUUCGAUGCAUGUUGUGUUAUUAUUCUUUGGCCCAAGUUGUGUUAUAAGGUAUUCUAGAUUUGAUGUGGUGUAGGAAUGUUAAUAGUAAUAGUGAAAUGUAUAUAGAAUUGGUAUAAAAUAAAUUGGAUAUUGGUAGCUUGAAAAGGUAGAUAUUCGAUUCACGAAAGCUUGAGGUGUGACAGGGAUUUGAGACCCCUUUAAUUCGAGACUGAAAUUAUGCAGGCAAUGUUUGUGGAUCUCUUUUUAACAAAUAAAGGUUCUUUUCCUAAGGAGUACGCUUUCACUUGUGAAACUUAAAUGUUCUGGUGGUGGUUUAGAACAAUAGUGGAAUAGAUGAUUUAAUUCGAUGAAAUGCGAUAAAGCUUAUCUGUUAUCUGAAAUAAUACCUAGGUAUAGGUAGAAUUCUAUUCGAGGUAGUGCAUGGCUGUUGGAGGGUAAUGUUUUGUAAUAUCUGGUUUCGGACAGGAAUAGCCGAUACACUUUUAGUUGUUAUAGGUCUUUUGCAUCUUUUCAUGAUGCAUGAUAUGAAUAAUGAAUAGUAUUAGUUGUGAUGCAUGAUAUGAAUAAUGAAUGUGAUGCAUGAAUAGUAUGGUCUUUUAGAUAGAAUAACGUCGAGUCAUUAUGCUCUUUAGUUCGGAGAUAUUCAUGUGUUACUAGGAGAGGUAUAUA
rnacentral:rRNA from 1 species